rnacentral:rRNA from 1 species
AUACGUAGGUGGCAAGCGUUGUCCGGAAUUAUUGGGCGUAAAGCGCGCGCAGGUGGUUCCUUAAGUCUGAUGUGAAAGCCCCCGGCUCAACCGGGGAGGGUCAUUGGAAACUGGGGAACUUGAGUGCAGAAGAGGAUAGUGGAAUUCCAAGUGUAGCGGUGAAAUGCGUAGAGAUUUGGAGGAACACCAGUGGCGAAGGCGACUGUCUGGUCUGUAACUGACACGGAGGCGCGAAAGCGUGGGGAGCAAACAGGAUUAGAUACCCUGGUAGUCCACGCCGUAAACGAUGAGUGCUAAGUGUUGGGGGGUUUCCGCCCCUCAGUGCUGCAGCUAACGCAUUAAGCACUCCGCCUGGGGAGUACGGUCGCAAGGUUGAAACUCAAAGGAAUUGACGGGG